rnacentral:rRNA from 1 species
AUUGAACGCUGGCGGCAGGCUUAACACAUGCAAGUCGAACGAGCGGCGGACGGGUGAGUAAUGUCUGGGAAACUGCCUGAUGGAGGGGGAUAACUACUGGAAACGGUAGCUAAUACCGCAUACCAUCGGAUGUGCCCAGAUGGGAUUAGCUAGUAGGUGGGGUAAGGGCUCACCUAGGCGACGAUCCCUAGCUGGUCUGAGAGGAUGACCAGCCACCCUGGAACUGAGAAACGGUCAAACGUCCUAGGCGCGGAAGGAGUGGGGAAUAUUGGACAAUGGGAGCAAGCCUGAUGCAGUGAUGCCGCGAGUAUGAAGAAGGCCUUCGGGUUGUAAAGUACUUUCCGCGGGGAGGCGUUACCCGCAGAAGAGGCACCGGCUAACACCGUGCCAGCGCCCGCGGUAUUC